UUUCCGUAGGUGAACCUGCGGAAGGAUCAUUAAAGAGAAUAUGCCCUUCGGGGUAGAUCUCCCACCCUUUGUUUAUAUUACCUUUGUUGCUUUGGCAGGCCCGUCUUCGGACCACCGGCUUCGGCUGGUCAGUGCUUGCCAGAGGACCCAAAACUCUUAUUAUUAAUGUCGUCUGAGUACUAUAUAAUAGUUAAAGCUUUCAACAACGGAUCUCUUGGUUCUG
rnacentral:misc_RNA from 1 species